rnacentral:rRNA from 1 species
ACCAGCGGAGGGAUCAUUACCGAGUUUACAACUCCCAAACCCCUGUGAACAUACCUUAUGUUGCCUCGGCGGAUCAGCCCGCGCCCCGUAAAAAGGGACGGCCCGCCGCAGGAACCUUAAACUCUGUUUUUAGUGGAACUUCUGAGUAUAAAAAACAAAUAAAUCAAAACUUUCAACAACGGAUCUCUUGGUUCUGGCAUCGAUGAAGAACGCAGCAAAAUGCGAUAAGUAAUGUGAAUUGCAGAAUUCAGUGAAUCAUCGAAUCUUUGAACGCACAUUGCGCCCGCCAGUAUUCUGGCGGGCAUGCCUGUUCGAGCGUCAUUUCAACCCUCAAGCCCAGCUUGGUGUUGGGAGCUGCAGUCCUGCUGCACUCCCCAAAUACAUUGGCGGUCACGUCGAGCUUCCAUAGCGUAGUAAUUUACAUAUCGUUACUGGUAAUCGUCGCGGCCACGCCGUUAAACCCCAACUUCUGAAUGUUGACCUCGGAUCAGGUAGGAAUACCCGCUGAACUUAAGCAUAU